rnacentral:lncRNA from 1 species
AUUUACGAACAACAAAACUUUUCAUUCCAUCAAGAUUUGGUGCAUGAAUACAUUUCAGUCUACAAACAAACUGGUUUCAAACAUAGUUUUGGACUGUAAAAUUUAGGAUGUUUAGUAUCAUUGUUGUAAUGAUUUUAUUGUUUUCUCAAAUCUCAAUCAAAGAAGGCAAUUUCAGCUUUGUUGAUAAACAAAGACGAGAACAAAAAGUGCGUCUCUUUAUGCCUUGUGGUUUUUAGCCAUCUCGUCCACGUCCAAUUCUACGGCCAGGAUUGGAGAAUCUUGUCCCAUUGCAGUGUGACUGAUCAAAGGAAUUAUAUUAGAGUAAGAAACAAAAAAGCUCAUCGAAAUGCAAAUUUAAGAGACAAGAAAGAGUUUUGUUUUACCUGUUUCGAA